AUGGAUGAUGUUUACUCAACUCUGUUUAAUCCACUCACAGGAAUAGAAUCUCCUGUGGGUAUUAACCACAAUCAUGGCACUGGCAAUGCCCACAAUGGUAUGGACCCAAUACCCCUCCCGCUCUGCUCUCUCCCCUGCCGGUGUUUGCCAUUAUACCGGAGGACGUCGCCGCGUGGGAUGCUGAACGGAGGCACCGCCACCGGGAUCUGGAUGUUUCACAGGAAGGGUGGCAGGGGAGCACAUGUGUAUACCUGCACGUGGUCGUGA
rnacentral:rRNA from 1 species